rnacentral:misc_RNA from 1 species
GAUGAAGAACGCAGCGAAAUGCGAUAAGUAAUGUGAAUUGCAGAAUUCUGUGAAUCAUCGAAUCUUUGAACGCACAUUGCGCCCGCCAGUAUUCUGGCGGGCAUGCCUGUUCGAGCGUCAUUUCAACCAUCAAGCCCCCGGCUUGUGUUGGGGACCUGCGGCUGCCGCAGGCCCUGAAAACCAGUGGCGGGCUCGCUAGUCACUCCGAGCGUAGUAAUACAUCUCGCUCAGGGCGUGCUGCGGGUUCCGGCCGUUAAAAAGCCUUAUUUACCCAAGGUUGACCUCGGAUCAGGUAGGAAGACCCGCUGAACUUAAGCAUAUCAAUAAGCGGAGGA